rnacentral:lncRNA from 1 species
CGCGCCCGUCUACCUCGCCGCCGUCCUCGAGUACCUCGCCACCGUCCUCGAGUACCUCGCCGCCGAGGUUCUGGAGUUGGCCGGGAACGCGGCGCGGGACAACAAAAGAACCCAAAGCCGGAGAAGAGGGGACAGGCGGAGAAGAGAAACCCAAAGCCGAGAAGAGAAACCCAAAGCCGGCACCUGACAGCGGACGGACAGCCGGGCUCCUCCUUCUUCUCAGGUCCACUCCGAGCUCCGGCGGGCAGGCUCGAUGUGGGUGACAGCAGCGGAGAAGAAAUCCACGGCAGGUUGGAUGUGGGUCACACCAAAGAGCGGCGGAGAAACAGAGGACAAUCCUCUUCUCCGGUCAGAGGACAAUCCUCUUCUCCGGUCUCCUACACCACCGCCGGAGACCGAGACAAGCUUCUUGGAAGAGAUCGAGAGAGAGCCGCUGCCGAAAGGACCUCUCGUUGCCGCCGGCCGCUAGCUCGAAGAGAAGUGAGAUGGGAGAAGGAGACUCUCGGGACAAUGGAAGAACCUCAGCUAACCUCCGGCCAUUAGCUCGAAAAGAAGAAUGAUGGGAGAAGAAGACUGGAGAAGAGGGGAGAGGGAAAGAGGCUCUCGUAGAGCUAGAGAAGGUGAGGCUCUGAUACCAU